GGCUCAUUGGGGGCAUGUUCUGCAAAACAACCACACCACAAGGGGAUGAGACAGGGAGAGAAAGACAGGCAGGCAGCGCAGGCUGAGGGACGGGGUCCUUGCACAGGGGCCCAGGGCUUAUACAAAGAGGCUGCUCUCUAGGACCAAACUUUGCUUCCGCAGGGAAGUUUGAGGGCUAACCGGGACCAUCACCGCUAAGAAAAUAAUUACCGCGACUCAGCCUUCGUGUUUAUCCCAUUAAGCCUCUCCUAAGAUCUAAUGUAAUUUCAAUAUGCUAAGGCAAUUGAUUAGGCCUCAAUAAGAAAAGCAGAGCCCGUGCUUUUCUGAGGUCCCGAAGCUAAAGUUUGUAGCUUCCCUCUUACUUUGGAGCUGUGAUCUUAGAGCCCUCCACGGAAUGGCAUUUUAAAGUGCAUUUAAAACACACUUGCUGCAUCAAAAGUUUAUGGCAGAUGGUGCAGGCAUGCACCGAUUUCGCAGGGUUUUUUUUUCACACGUGCUUAAACCACACGCUUCUUCUCUAAAGAAAACCAGGCCACUUAAAGCAGACCUAAGAGGAAGGGGACAGGUGAAUUGUGUAAAACGCAGUAAGCACAAAUGCUCACCACUCCGGCCAGGGGUGUGGACAGAAAGCAACUGAAAAGGCGAAUUGAAUUUACAUUGCAAAUCCUCACACAACAAAGCGGGAGUUUAUUUAAGAGAAGGGAGGAAGGACCCUUCGUCUCAAAGCCUUAGAACAGUUUUCCAGGCCGUUACUUUGUGUGCAGAGCCUUGUGUGCGAUCGGCGGAAGCCCUACGAGUUGGAGAAAGGAGAUCUCGCUUUGCAUAGAACACAGCGUGACACUCAAUUUCUCCGCCAUCUCUUAGCAUAUUUAUGCAGACUUUGGUCCUUUGACUAAGAAAAGAGGAGAUGUUAGUGCUAAACUAAGUAGUCGGCGGGCAUAUCAUUUUGAGAGAGUGGUGCCUCUUUGUAUCAAACCCAUACUUCAGACCAAAAAUGGUUACAAAAAGUGAGCGAUCGUGGCUUGCGGUUUAAUUUAGGAGGUGCCAGGAGCUGGGGUUGAGGGGGGAAGCAAAAGUAAAGUACACCUCAGAAACUUCAGCUGCAGCCCUGCUCGGAUGGGACAGAGCGGCUGCAGAGAGCCGAGCCGGAGCAAAAGGCGGCUUUGCUGUUAAGGACUGAAACCCCGUCCCUGU